rnacentral:rRNA from 1 species
GAUGAACGCUGGCGGCGUGCUUAACACAUGCAAGUCGAACGGAGUUGUUUGAAAGCUUGCUUUUGAAUAACUUAGUGGCGGACGGGUGAGUAACGCGUGGGUGACCUGCCUUAUACUGGGGGAUAACACUUAGAAAUAGGUGCUAAUACCGCAUAAGCGCACAGUUCUGCAUGGAACAGUGUGAAAAACUCCGGUGGUAUAAGAUGGACCCGCGUCUGAUUAGCUAGUUGGUGAGGUAACGGCCACCAAGGCGACGAUCAGUAGCCGGCCUGAGAGGGUGAACGGCCACAGUUGGGACUGAGACACGGCCCAGACUCCGUACGGGAGGCAGCAGGUGGGGAAUAUUGCACAAGUGGGCGCAAGCCUGAUGCAGCGAUGCCGCGU